rnacentral:rRNA from 1 species
UAUUACCGUGAGGGAAAAAUGAAAAAGAACUUUGAAGAGAGAGUUCAAGAGUACGUGAAACCGUUCAGGGGUAAACCUGAGAAACCCAAAAGAUAGAAUGGGGAGAUUCAUCCGUCAGCUUUAAUGGCUUUCGUGUGGUGCGCGAUGCUUGGGACUCGUCCUCGUGGCACGCUACCGCUGCGAAUGACCGUUUUAGUCGGCGUGCACUUCUCCCCUAGUAGGACGUCGCGACCCGUUGGGUGCUGGCCUACGGUCCGGUUUGUUGACUGUCGUGUCGCGUUCGCGCGCGCGCGGCAGACGACUGGUAACCCGGCCAGCUGCCCGGCGGUAUAAAAUUUUUGAAACGGUAUCAGGUCGCACUUAAUGCGUUCCGGCUCGUAGGCAGACUCGUCUCGCUCGGAUUUACGGACUUAGUGCCGUUGCUGAGUGUUUGAUGUGGUUGUUAGUCUACGAUGUCCUCGAACAGGCCUAAAAUUAUAUACCCGUCGGCGACGCUACUGCUAGAUCUGGCCGUACUUUCGAGACCCGUCUUGAAACACGGACCAAA